rnacentral:rRNA from 1 species
AUUGAACGCUGGCGGCAGGCCUAACACAUGCAAGUCGAACGAGUGGCGGACGGGUGAGGAAUGUCUGGGAAACUGCUCGUUGGAGGGGGCUAACUGCUGGAAACGGUAGCUAAUACCCCAUACCAUCUGCUCUGCCCAGAUGGGAUUAGCUGGUGGGUGGGGUAACGGCUCACCAAGGGGACGAUCCCUAGCUGGUCUGAGAGGAUGACCAGCCACACUGGAACUGAGACACGGUCCAGACUCCUACGGGAGGCAGCAGUGGGGAAUAUUGCACAAUGGGCGAAAGCCGGAUGCAGCCAUGCCGCGUGUAUGAAGAAGGCCUUCGGGUUGUAAAGUACUUUCAGCGAGGAGGCGUGACUCGCAGAAGAAGCACCGGCUAACUCCGUGCCAGCAGCCGCGGUAAUAC